rnacentral:lncRNA from 1 species
AAUGAGAACUGAAUGGAACAAUUAAGUGAUAAAGGUUUAAAACUUCAUAUCUUUGAAAUGGGAAAGGUAAAGAGCCAUUCAUCACUUUGGCAUGAAUAACUAUCAGGCUUUGUGGAGUUAAGUUCACUAACAUUUCUCAUUCUAACAUUAACUACAGUUUUCUCUAACUCUUCAACUAUACAAGCUGUGCAAAUACUGCUUUACUGCUCUACAAAAUUGUGAAAACAAGUUUCUGUCUUAGUUCCUCAAACGAGAAGU